GUCUGAGCCUCUUUGGCUAUGUUUCCAGACAUGGGAAAGAAGACGAAGAAGCUAGGAAAAGGCAUUGAGAAAGCAGCGACAGCUGAGGAAAAUAGAGCUCGCAAAGAGACCAGAAGCUCUCUCACCUGAGGAUGACAUUGAUGCCAUUUUGAGAGCUGAUAACUUAAUCAUACAUGUUACUGCCUCAAUCUAAAACUAUUAUUCUACUGUUGGGGUACAAGAUUUUCAGGAAAAGUAGUGUCCAUAAACCAAAAUUUCCAACAGACCAUAUGGCACUAUCAUGGAGGGUGUCAAGUUGGGAGGGUUGUUGAUAAAGGAUAUAGAGUUCUUGGUAUUGAUUCUCUGAGGGUUAUUGAUGGUUCAAUGUUUUAUCACACCCCAGGUGCUAAUCCUCAAGCUACUGUCAUGAUGCUUGGAA